GUGCUGAGAGACAACGCUCAAUUGCUGUAAUCAGGGAGGAUGAACAAUUAUAGCAAUUUCAGAGAAGCGCGAGGCAUGCGGGAAAAUUGGAGCCACAUGAGCAGAGGGUGUUUCCUACCCGCGAGGCUCCUGAGCGGAUGGUAUAAGAGCUCUUCCUCCUCCGCUCUCUUCCAGCCCAAUCUGCUGAAACUUGUGAAGAAUCAGAUUUGCCUCCCACCACAUAGCCAUGGUUUUCCCGGGGGAGCUUUGUGGCUACAACGUCUCCUGCAGCACAAGCCUCCCCUCAACAACGCUCCUAUUGCAACCACCAGCUAUUGUGGCUGAAACAAAGCUGACGGACCUAGAGAUCCUCAUCCCGGAGCCCCCGCCUUGUGAAAUCCCAGAAUGUGGCUUCGAUCCAUGCCACUUGCCUCCAUGGUACUGCCACCUGCCUCCUGAGCCACCCAUCAUUUUUGCCACCUUCGCCACUUGCCUUCAUGAAGCAUAAGUGUGGCUUGCCGGCGGCCAUCUUGCAAUAGGCCCGUUUCAGGCAGGAGGCGCUGCGGACAGGAAGUAGGGGCUGCAUUAGGAACGGGAGUCUGGAGCAAUGCUCCACACAUUGGGGCCACACUUGUUAUUGGCGCCUGUCCUUAAAGGUUCAGGAUCGGCAGCCAUCAUCCAUUUUGUAUAUCCAUGUAGUAGAAGUUUGAAAACAACAACAAUAAUAAUCACAGGUGCUGUGAAUUACAGUUUUAGCCUGAGUCUUUCUUUUUGGAGUGGGGCAAUUCAGGUGACUAUGUCCAGAGCAUUCCAGAAGACGCAGGUUGAGAGAUGGGAGGAGGUGGAGGAAGACGUGGAAGAGGAGUUAGUAGGCCUAAAACAGCAUCAAAGGAACCUUUGGUCCUUCAGACACUGUUGAGCAUCAUCAAUGGUUGGGGAUGAUUGGAGCUGUACUUCAUCCUAUUUGCUGGAUCCUAUGUUCCCGUUCCCUGGCCUAAACCAUACCUCAAGGGUGGCUGACCAGGGAUCAUCCAGAUAUUGUGAAACUACAACUCCAGUCAACCCCAGCUAGUAUUGCUAGUGGUCAAGGAAAUUGGAAACUGUAGUUCAUCAGCCUCUCAAGAGCCACAGGUCCCCAUCCCUGUCAUAAGUCUGCCCCCAGUUAAAGCUUUCUUUGUUGGCCAUCAGAUUGCUUCCUAAACUUCUAGUACCAGAGGCACAUUUCCCCCUCCCAUUUAAAUAUCAGUCUUACAUCAUCCAGGUAUUUCCUUUCCGAGUGUGAGUAAAGGGGAGAACUAUAUGUCAUUGGAGUUGCCCACCCAAAUGUAAUGGCAAUGCCUCUUUGGAGGGUAUUGUUGAGCCUCUGUGUCAUUAGGCACACCUAAUGCCGAUUUGUACAUUCCUUGAGCCAGAUACCUUUCUUCUUAUGCUAUGUAGAGUGCUGUGUACAUAGAAGGUGAAAUAAAUAAUAUUAUGAAACAAAAGCAUCUGGUUCAUCAGAGGUAUGUUGGAAGCAGAGAACACCAGCAGAGAGUACCAUGAAGAACAUUAGCAGGCAUACACUUCGCAGUAAUUCACGGCAAUCCUAAACCUGCAUACUCAAAUGUACAUGCACUAAGCAUGCACACACCGGUUUCUUUUGUGGGCCACAAAGUUACGAAACACUGUUUGGAUAUUAAUACAGUAAAUGUCAACAUUUUAGCGAAGGAGACAAGAUGGAGGAGGACCAGGUGGGGAGGACCAACCAUAACUUAUGUCAUGCAAAGAUACUUGCAAAGUCCAUCUGAUGACAUCAUUAAAGGCAUUUGAAAAUGUU